rnacentral:SRP_RNA from 1 species
AGCCGGGGAGAUAGCGGUGCCCUGUACCUGCAAUCCGCUACAGCAGGGGUGAUGACUGGCCCCGAACUGUUCAUGCGGGGCUGCCUUUGGUAAAUGAUGUUGAUACUUAGGUCUUACGCGACAGGAAUCUGUGAACCGUGUCAGGUUGGGAACAAAGCAGCACUAAGCAGAACCUCUCUGUGCGCCGUGAGGUAGCCUGGGUUGAGUCAGGUGCCAAAGUAACGCU